CUUGGCACUGAACAUUGACCCUACAUGUGUAGGAUAGGUGGGAGACUUUGAAACGCAGACGCCAGUUUGCGUGGAGUCGUCCUUGAAAUACCACCCUUGUAGUGUUGAUGUUCUAACUUGGCCCCAUUAUCUGGGGUGAGGACAGUGCCUGGUGGGUAGUUUGACUGGGGCGGUCUCCUCCCAAAGAGUAACGGAGGAGCACGAAGGUGGGCUAAUCACGGUCGGACAUCGUGAGGUUAGUGCAAUGGCAUAAGC
rnacentral:rRNA from 1 species